GAGCUGUAAUGGGCUUCCUUGUUUAUGACCGUGAACCAAACCCUGCUGGCGCGGGACACUUCUGGACUGGGUGCCAACAGACGCUGCGCCUGCAGCAGAUAUUUCUGCCUCUGAGCAGAAAGUCCUGAUUGACUCUGAUUGUGUGCAAAGUCUGGAAACGUCACGCUAUGAAUGAAAAGUCCGGCUCGGGUCCUGCUGCUGUAACAGAGGUUUGAUCGGAACCAGCUGAUGAAGUUUGAUGGCGAUAUCUACUGGUGUCUCAACACACGGUUCAGACAGGACGAUGGUGGACAGUCCAGGUUGCUGGCUGGAGGACGUCUCCCUGCGUGGCUGUAAAAGACUGAGCUCUGUGGCUCUGAAACAGCUGUGUGGAGGAGAGCCAGGGGUCGAGGGUCAAACCCUGUCUGGAGCUCGGCAGGAAUGAAAAAAGUUCUAAUCACCACUCUGAUGCCUGCCUGUCAAUCACCGCCUGCAGGUCUGAGCAGGCCGCGAGGCAGAGUCACGAGGACGAGGGAGACCCACACCGCUCCCGACCUCAAGAAUUUAUUUCAGGCUGCAAAUAAA